CACACACACAUAACCAUACACGUGAACACACACACACACAAAACCAUGGUUUUAUACAAAACCAUGUGUCAAACCGUGUGCCACAAACACACACACACACACACCCUCAAUGUAUUUUUUUCUUUCUCUCGGAUAACACACACACACUUCUCCCUCAUUCCACACACACACACACGCACACACCCUCCAUCUACAGAGAUCGGAGAUCUCUCUUCUCCCAAACACACACACACACACACACACACAGAUCGGAGAUCUCUCUUCUCCAUUCUCCGAUCUCUCUUCUCCCAAACACCCACAUACAAAGAGAGAUCUCCAAUCUCUCUUCUCCCAAACACACACACACACACACAGAUCUCUCGAUCUCUCUUCUCCCUUCGCCGUUGAUCGUGGCUCUGGCGAAGUCGGAGUUGGCUCAGUUGUCUCUGGCGGUGCGCCGCUGAGCAAGGAUCACGUUCAGUCAUCUGGUUCGUCUUCGUCUUCGUCAGGUGAGAUUCCAUUGAAACCCUAAACCCUAAACCGACUUCACAUAUGUUGAAUCGUUUAUGCAUGCGUGAAAUCUAAAGUUUAUAUGUGAAAUUGAUGUUAAAAUUCGUGUUUUUGCAAGGUUUUUGGGACGAAAUCGGCCCGGGAAUAGGCACACCGUCUCCGGCGUUCUUCUCUGACGUCGCCUCGGAGUCUGAUUGCACCAAACUCAAAAAAAUUUGGCCGAUAUUUCCAAAAUAUCGCGAUAUUAUCGAUAAUAUCGCGAUAUUUGGCCGAAAACCAUUCGGAUACCACUUAGAAUAUCCAUCACCCGAAAAACCGAUAAUAUCGGCGAUAUUUCGCCGAUAUUAUCGGCAUUUUCUUCCAUGAUCAUACCAUU
rnacentral:lncRNA from 1 species